UGGAGCUUGGUGACAAGACUGAC
rnacentral:miRNA from 1 species